rnacentral:rRNA from 1 species
GAUGAACGCUGGCGGCGUGCCUAAUACAUGCAAGUCGAGCGAACGGACGAGAAGCUUGCUUCUCUGAUGUUAGCGGCGGACGGGUGAGUAACACGUGGAUAACCUACCUAUAAGACUGGGAUAACUUCGGGAAACCGGAGCUAAUACCGGAUGAUAUUUUGAACCGCAUGGUUCAAACGUGAAAGACGGUCUUGCUGUCACUUAUAGAUGGAUCCGCGCUGCAUUAGCUAGUUGGUAAGGUAACGGCUUACCAAGGCAACGAUGCAUAGCCGACCUGAGAGGGUGAUCGGCCACACUGGAACUGAGACACGGUCCAGACUCCUACGGGAGGCAGCAGUAGGGAAUCUUCCGCAAUGGGCGAAAGCCUGACGGAGCAACGCCGCGUGAGUGAUGAAGGUCUUCGGAUCGUAAAACUCUGUUAUUAGGGAAGAACAUAUGUGUAAGUAACUGUGCACAUCUUGACGGUACCUAAUCAGAAAGCCACGGCUAACUACGUG